rnacentral:rRNA from 1 species
GUGCCAGCAGCCGCGGUAAUACGUAGGUGGCAAGCGUUGUCCGGAAUUAUUGGGCGUAAAGCGCGCGCAGGCGGCCUUUUAAGUCUGAUGUGAAAGCCCACGGCUCAACCGUGGAAGGUCAUUGGAAACUGAAAGGCUUGAGUACAGAAGAGGAAAGCGGAAUUCCACGUGUAGCGGUGAAAUGCGUAGAGAUGUGGAGGAACACCAGUGGCGAAGGCGGCUUUCUGGUCUGUAACUGACGCUGAGGCGCGAAAGCGUGGGGAGCAAACAGGAUUAGAUACCCUGGUAGUCCACGCCGUAAACGAUGAGUGCUAAGUGUUAGGGGGUUUCCGCCCCUUAGUGCUGGAGCAAACGCAUUAAGCACUCCGCCUGGGGAGUACGGUCGCAAGACUGAA